CGCACGGCGAGGUCCCCUGGGAACUUCGGUCCAGCCUCCCUGCGAACGACGCCGAUGGGACCCCCGUCCCGUCGGUCCCGCCCCCAGCCCAGCCCUCCCGGGUGGCUGCGGUCCUCCCGCUUCCUGGCGCGCCUUCAGAUACCUGCUUGGCUCAAGCCCUCGCUUCCUUCAGAGCUUGGCUCGAAUUCACGCUGACACCCCUCCCCCCACCACCACCACCAUCCUGGGGCAUGAGCUCCAUCAAGCAGGGACUCUGUCUAUUUCUUUUGAAUUGCUUUAUCUCCAGCCCCAGAAUGGCACCUGGCACGUGGAAGGAGCUCAGGGAACAUUUGUUCGCUGAAUGACUAGCAGUGAGAACGGGGCACGGGGACCGCGGUUCCUGGCAGAGAAGAGCUCCCAGUGAGCCUAAUUACAUUAUUCUGUCUUCCUUGCAUUUAUUUUUCUGGUUACUUUUUAUUUCUUAUGGCAGAUGAUACUGCAUUUUUUCAUUUGUAGAAGUGAUUUAAAAUUUCCUUUGAAAACAAGUUGAUUUAACUGGGGAAAGCACGUUUAUUUCAAGAACAAUAUUCAGUUAAUGGAGGCACGGGGGACAUGGCAAGAGUCAGGAAGGCGGGACAGGCAGGCCG
rnacentral:lncRNA from 1 species